rfam:TPA: Bos taurus chromosome 14, whole genome shotgun sequence.
UCCCUGGUGGCUCAGAUGGUAAAGUGUCUGUCUGCAAUGCAGGAGACCCGGGUUCAAUCCCUGGGUUGGGAA